rnacentral:rRNA from 1 species
GAUGAACGCUGGCGGCGUGCCUAAUACAUGCAAGUCGAGCGAACGGACGAGAAGCUUGCUUCUCUGAUGUUAGCGGCGGACGGGUGAGUAACACGUGGAUAACCUACCUAUAAGACUGGGAUAACUUCGGGAAACCGGAGCUAAUACCGGAUAAUAUUUUGAACCGCAUGGUUCAAAAGUGAAAGACGGUCUUGCUGUCACUUAUAGAUGGAUCCGCGCUGCAUUAGCUAGUUGGUAAGGUAACGGCUUACCAAGGCAACGAUGCAUAGCCGACCUGAGAGGAUGAUCGGCCACACUGGAACUGAGACGCGGUCCAGACUCCUACGGGAGGCAGCAGUAGGGAAUCUUCCGCAAUGGGCGAAAGCCUGACGGAGCAACGCCGCGUGAGUGAUGAAGGUCUUCGGAUCGUAAAACUCUGUUAUUAGGGAAGAACAUAUGUGUAAGUAACUGUGCACAUCUUGACGGUACCUAAUCAGAAAGCCACGGCUAACUACGUG